GCAGUAGCCGCGGUAAUACGGAGGGUGCAAGCGUUAAUCGGAAUUACUGGGCGUAAAGCGCACGCAGGCGGUCUGUCAAGUCAGAUGUGAAAUCCCCGGGCUUAACCUGGGAACUGCAUUUGAAACUGGCAGGCUAGAGUCUUGUAGAGGGGGGUAGAAUUCCAGGUGUAGCGGUGAAAUGCGUAGAGAUCUGGAGGAAUACCGAUGGCGAAGGCAGCCAUCUGGCCUAAUACUGACGCUGAGGUACGAAAGCAUGGGGAGCAAACAGGAUUAGAUACCCGUGUAGUCCCUGUCUCUUAUAC
rnacentral:rRNA from 1 species